GCGAACAUAUUUGAGCUUUCUCCUUGAGCUCUUUGAGUUCGUCACUUUUGUCGGAUUCGGUUUGCCCCCGAUUUGGUUGGCAAGCUAUUUUCUAAAUUUUAGUGCCAGGUAUCAAAUCACCGAGUGAAAUUCACCCACAAAAUUCAUCAGUGAGUGAAUCCAGGGAAUGGCCAGAGAAGUUUUGUCCUCAAGAAACAGCCGCCACAUUCACUGAUGCUGCUGCUGCUAGUGGUGGUGGUGGUGGCCGUGCUGUGGCUGGGCCGUGCUCAGCUGCCGGCCGAGCAGCGUAACCAGCUGGAGCAGCUGCAGCGGUCCGUGCAGGCCCAGAGCCAGCAGCUGGAGCAGCUGGUGCGCCGUCAGCUGCAGGCGGCUCGCGGCUGGCUGGACCGGGUGCCGGCGCUGGCGGCCGGCGGCCAGUGACCGGCCGGGUACCCUCCAGUCGAGCACACUGUGACCCAGCGGCCCAGUGAGUACCUUGCGGUCGAGUACCCAGCCGUGGCCGAGUAUCCAGCGGCCAGUCAGUACUGCUGACCCGACCCCUGUCAGGCGGGACCGGCGCCGCCGUCAGUGUCCGGCCGACGGAUCCGCCCCCUGCCGGAGCCAGCGCCGCCUGCCGGCAGGGGGAGCGCGAGGGUAGACCGUCCCCGACCCGGCUGCACCGAGUCGCCACCGGUCGUGUAGUUUGGUCAGUUUAGCUGCUGUGCGGUGAGCUGUCUGAGUGACAUUUGUGUCCGUCACACUCCUGAUUUUUUUUACGUUAGAGAUCGGCACUGAUGACAUGUGACAUUGAUAAGGUUGAUGGUGUGUGGGCAGAGGUAACUCUCGUCCCGUCCGGGAUCACUGGGCAUUACAGUAGAGGCGGGAUGGAUUCGUGUGCGUUUUAAACUGGCAUAGUAUUUCGACACGUGAGAGUGUGAGAUGGUUCAGUAGGCAUUUGAUGUACAAAGCUUUCGGCAGUACAAAGACGUGCCUGUUCGGUCGACAACGUUUAUCGUCAUCACACAUUAUAUUUGACAAAUCACGUAGCGUAGGAUCAUUUAGCAUAAGCAUUGGGCGUUUUAGAUUCUUACUUGAAAGUCGCAAGUAGUGCUGUCAUGGAGUGGUGUUUACCGAAGGAGAUUUCACUUUCAUGUGCCGUACCUGUCACAGAGUAUGCAUAAUGAGAACUGUUAGUACCUUAGCUGUAACUGCAUGACUCCGAAGGCGCUUAGUGCGAUAAAUAUGCAUCGAUGUGCUAGAUAGAGCGCUGUUUUAUCGUAAGAUUUCACACUUGUGUAAUGGCUAAACUGUAAAUCCACUCGCUAGGAUGAACGUACAAAGCGAAUGAUUUGCGAAAUGCUCAUUUUGCACACCAUCGAGAUUGUAGUUAGGUGUUCCUGGAAAUAUUGUAUUUUCGGUAACCGUUGGAACGACCCGCACCAAAUUUGAUGUCAAUAUACUUGUGUUGGCAAA
rnacentral:misc_RNA from 1 species